AGAACGUGCCACCCGGACAUAGAAGAGAGGAUAAUUUCCUUCUCUUAAGUUGUCCUGUCUUCGCUUGUCCCUGGGCUGGCAUUACUGACAGUGACACUGGUCAUUCCUUCAUUUAAAAGUGAAAAGCUUCACAGCAGCGAUGUCCACUGUGGCCCAACUGUGGGAGGAGCCGCGGUGCCCACCGACAGGCUUGUCUUUUUGGAAGAAGAGGAUGCCGUCUCUUUAUUUCGCCAAUCAAAGACCCCAAAUGCUCAGGAGAACUUGAGUCCUCCUCUGAAGAUACCAUUCACCGCGGCAUGGGAGCUAAAGUUUACCAAUAUCCACCUGAGCAAGACUUUUAAGGUACCUGUUCUUUUGACAUUAACCAUUACGUAAUCAAGCAUGCCAAGUAUCACAGACCACCUCCAGCUAAAGCAGAAUAUAUGUACUAUUCACUUCUUAAAAAGAAAACAUUUCUCCAAUGAGAAGAAAUCGUGUCAUUUCCUGAGUGGAAGUUCACAAGGGGGUACUUGGAGCCUGCAAUGUGUGGAAAAGACUAAGUUCAGAGGGAAAAGGGGAAAGAGCCCCACAGAAAUAGUAUAAAUGAAAAAUACUUCCAUGCUUCUACGUAAACAUGACUGCUUCUUACAAUGAACUGUAGUUUUUUUAAAAAAUUGAGAACUUAUUCUCUGAUUAUAUUCUCUCAUAAAUCAUGUGGACAGAUGUGCGCCUUAGUCACGCAUCAUGGCUGAUUACCAUCAUUCAGUUUAUACAACACAGACUAAAGAUUUUACUUUUUAAUUCAACAUUUAAUUUCUUUGGUAUUAUAACAUUCAAAAAGUAAUAUCCUAUGAAUUUUUCUUUGUUAUAGCACAACAUCUGCACAAUAAAAAU